rnacentral:lncRNA from 1 species
GUUUGGACAGGGAGAUGGCUUCUGUAUUCUACAAAACCCACUCAAGCUCAGCAGUUAAAAUGACUGACACUUCUGGUAUUAGAAAGAUUCUUCCAGAUUCUGAAAUAUGUGAUUUUGAAUUUGAUCCAUGUGGUUAUUCCAUGAAUGCCAUUGAAGGAGCUGCAAUUUCCACCAUUCAUGUCACGCCUGAAGAUGGUUUUAGUUAUGCUAGCUUUGAAACGAUGGGAUAUAAUCCAAAAGAUGUGAACCUGAGCCAGCUGAUUGAAAGGGUGUUGUCUUGUUUCCAACCGAAUGAGUUCUCUGUAGCGGUGCAUGCUGACAUCUCGGGUAAGUUACUUGAGCGAAAUUGC